rnacentral:rRNA from 1 species
AGGAGCCUGCGGUCUAUCAGCUAGUUGGUGAGGUAAUAGCUCACCAAGGCUAUGACGGAUACCUGGUCUGAGAGGAUGAUCAGGCACAAUGGAACUGAGACACGGUCCAUACUCCUACGGGAGGCAGCAGUGAGGAAUCUUCCACAAUGGACGAAAGUCUGAUGGAGCGACACCGCGUGAAGGAUGAAGGCCUAACGGUUGUAAACUUCUUUUCUGAAGGAGCAUAAUGAGAGUACUUCAGGAAUAAGGGACGGCUAAAUACGUGCCAGCAGCCGCGGUAAUACGUAUGUCCCAAGCGUUACCCGGAAUCACUGGGUGUAAAGGGUUCGUAGGUGGUUAAUUAAGUUGGAUAUGAAAGACCGGAGCUCAACUUCGUGUUUGUGUUCAAAACUGAUUAACUAGAAUCAGGGAGAGGUAAGCGGAAUUCUGUGUGUAGGGGUGCAAUCCGUAGAUACACAGAGGAACACCAAAAGCGAAGGCAGCUUACUGGAACUGUAUUGACGCUCAUGAACGAAAGCGUGGGGAGCGAAAAGGAUUAGAUACCCUUGUAGUCCACGCCCUAAACGAUGAUAACUAAGUGUUGUGACUUGCUCGCAGUGCUGUAGCUAACGCGUUAAGUUAUCCACCUGAGGAGUACGGUCGCAAGAUUAAAACUCAAAGGAAUAGACGGGGACCCACACAAGCAGUGGAUCACGUGGUU